rnacentral:tRNA from 3 species
GGUGAUGUAGCUCAGCUGGUUAGAGCACAGGAUUCAUAAUCCUGGGGUCGUGGGUUCAAGUCCCACUUUCACCACCA